UUUUUCCCCUUCAAGCAAUAUCACAGAAAACAUGCACUCCUUUUCCUCCUCUACAUCAAUCAUGUGAAAAUACCUACAAACUAACGAAUGGAUUUCCAAUGAUUUAUCAAUAAUCCAUUUCUAUAAAAGGGCACAUUCAUCAUUAGACACAUAGAAGUUGGAUAAACCCAACAACCUUCCAUCCAGAGUCAACAAAAUCGAAACCCAUUUUUGAGAGUUGUUGGUGCCUAAUCCUAUAACUGACGACAACGUUAGUAAAUCUAGAUACGUCGUUGGGUGCCUCAGGAAGAGUUAUCUUUUAUUUUUAACAUAUUUCCCACCCUGAAAUCAUCUCAACCGAAGAUAAGGUCCAAUAGUUGGAAGAGCAUCGCACGUCUUGCAGUGUUCGGUGCACCCUUAGUGGACCUUGAAAAUCUAGAGGACCAAGUAUCAUCCAUGCCUAGUCGUGCUCAUAACCGCAUUAGGUCUCUAAGGUGAACAACCUCUGGUCAAUAGAACAAUGUAGGUAAGGGAAGUUGGCAAAAUAGAUCCGUAACUUCGGGAAAAGGAUUGGCUUUGAGGGUUGGGCCUAGGAGUUUGCAUCUUCAACCUGUAGUCUUUCAGAAGUCUGCCCGAGCUGGUAUCGCGGAGAGGGAGGGUAGUCACGUGUCGAUUGGGCUACAGACAUAGGAUUUCCUCUCAUGGGGGAUUUUCCCUAGGUGGUGAAACAGAUGGUGGAAAUUCCCAUAGGGAGAAACACUGAUUUUCGUGGACCAUUGGAUCUAGUAGAUCUAUAGGGAGGAUAUGGGCGAGAGUCUUUCAACACUUGUAAGCUCAGGAGGAAUAGUAGUCGUCAGAUCUGAAGGAACAAGAACUGUUGAUUUGGCGCUCUGAAAUAUUGGCAUUUUGGGAGUCAGGAUUGUGGAGGAAGCUGCAACUCAUAAUUCACGAGUCGCGAAAUCCCGAUUCACAAAGGAAGAACCUAGUGCGUCAGAUCACGUGAGACGAGGGUCAUCGAUAUGGCAUAGCAGUCAUCGCGAGUUCAUAUUUCAGGAAAAGGGAAGAGAACCACUUCACAAACUCCUGAUACAUGAAAUCCCAACAUGCUCAGAUCUUGGGCCCCAGGUCGCAGCCGGAGGUCUUCCACAACAAGCUUACAUAAUUGGGGAAGACUUGAAAAUUUGGAAGUGAGCUUGUUCUUCUUUGAAAUCGA
rnacentral:ncRNA from 1 species